CCUACGGGCGGCAGCAGUGAGGAAUAUUGGUCAAUGGGCGGGAGCCUGAACCAGCCAAGUCGCGUGAGGGAAGACGGUCCUAUGGAUUGUAAACCUCUUUAGGCGGGGAGCAAUGCCGGGCACGCGUGCCCGGAGGGAGAGUACCCGCAGAAUAAGCAUCGGCUAACUCCGUGCCAGCAGCCGCGGUAAUACGGAGGAUGCGAGCGUUAUCCGGAUGUAUUGGGUUUAAAGGGUGCGUAGGAGGAGUUUGAAGUCAGCGGUAAAAUGUCCGGGCUCAACCCGGGCCGGCCGUUGAAACUGGGGAUCUUGAGUGGGCGAGAAGUAUGCGGAAUGCGUGGGGUAGCGGGGAAAUGCAUAGAUAUCACGCAGAACUCCGAUUGCGAAGGCAGCAUACCGGCGCCCGACUGACGCUGAGGCACGAAAGCGUGGGGAUCGAACAGGAGUAGAUACCCCUGUAGUC
rnacentral:rRNA from 1 species